rnacentral:rRNA from 1 species
UGGCCGAAUAUCUAAGGUUUCCAGGGUAAAGCUGAUCUGCCCUGGGUAAGUCGGGGCCUAAGGCAAGGCUGAGAAGCGUAGCUGAUGGACAACAGGUUUAGAUUCCUGUACCACAUGGUAUCAGAACUGUGGGGACGCAGAGGGAUAAGAUGACCGGGGGACAGAUUCCCGGGCAAGCGCAGGAGGUGUCAGGCAGGCAAAUCCGCCUGAUAAGCCAAAGACGUGACGCGGACCGAACUAAAGUAGGGAAGCAUCCGAUUCCAGCUGCCGAGAAAAGCCGCUAUUGUGUACCAUGUGCCCGUACCGUAAACCGACACAGGUGGAUGAGGAGAGAAUCCUAAGGCCGGCGGGAGAAGCAUUGUUAAGGAACUCGGCAAAAUGACCCCGUAACUUCGGGAGAAGGGGUGCCACAGAGAUGUGGCCGCAGAGAAUAGGCUCAAGCAACUGUUUAGCAAAAACACAGGUCUAUGCGAAACCGUAAGGUGAUGUAUAUGGGCUGACGCCUGCCCGGUGCUGGAAGGUUAAGAGGAGAGGUUAGAGCAAUCGAAGCUUUGAAUUGAAGCCCCAGUAAACGGCGGCCGUAACUAUAACGGUCCUAAGGUAGCGAAAUUCCUUGUCGGGUAAGUUCCGACCCGCACGAAAGGCGUAAUGAUUUGAGCGCUGUCUCGACAAUGCACCCGGUGAAAUUGAAAUACCAGUGAAGAUGCUGGUUACCUGCGCCAGGACGGAAAGACCCCAUGGAGCUUUACUCCAGCUUGAUACUGGGAUUCGGUAAUGCAUGCACAGGAUAGGUGGGAGGCUACGAGUAUGGAACUCCGGUUUCAUAUGAGCCGCUGUUGGGAUACCACCCUUGCGUUACUGGGUUUCUAACCAUGGUCCAUGAUCUGGAUCGGGGACAAUGUCAGGUGGGGAGUUUGACUGGGGCGGUCGCCUCCGAAAGGGUAUCGGAGGCGCUCAAAGGUUCCCUCAGAAUGGUUGGAAACCAUUCGAAGAGUGCAAAGGCAGAAGGGAGCUUGACUGCGACACCGACGGGUGGAGCAGGUAGGAAACUAGGACUUAGUGAUCCGGUGG